CGGACACCCUUUGAAUUUCUUUGUUUUCUAAAACUUGUUUUUUAACGCUGAUUUCGGAACUGUUUAAAUUUUUUUCCGGAAAUUAUUAUUAAAGAAGUUAUGAGAGUUUAAAUAUGGUUUUAAAUACCUAGCUUAAAUACCUAUUUAUUUUACCAUGAUUCAUUUAGAAUUACCGUGGCACAUUGGGUAACGCGUUAGCCGUAGGAACUGUGGUAUCAAGUUCGAUAACGUUUCAAACUUAUAAUUUGUCUCAAGACUUCAACUUUUUUUUCAUACACUAAACCGGUAAUGUAAAAUUAAUAUAAAUCUUUUGUGAAAUAUUAAUAAGUUUUUUUUUUUUUUAAAAAGAUUUGCAUAAGGCUAUGACAGACUAGAAUACUUCUCAAAAUAUAACCAAUCAUAAAAUUGAUGUAUAUGUUUAUCAUAUAUUAUUACGGAAUUGUAUUAAAUAUUAAAGGGAAAAAUUUGUAAAUAAACAUAUAUUACACCUUAAAAAUAUUUGUCCACUUUCAAUUUUUAAAACAAUUAUUAUUGAUUAUCAUUGUGAGAGAGAUGUUUCUGAAUUUCAUAUAAAUAUUAUGAAAGUUUUAAAUUUAACAUAUUUUGAAGCACAUAAAACUUGUAUUUUUUUUUUUUAAAUGAUCAUUGGUCCGAAGAUUCGUUUGAAAUUAUAUUUAAUAAGUGAAUUAGAGGAAUUUCAUUUCUUUUCUUUUUUUUAAUAUAGGUAUAUUUAUUUAUAAAUAAAAAUAUUUAUAAAUAUGUACAGCAAGCAAAUGGAGUAUUUUAUCUUAACAUUCAAUUUUAUGUAUAAUAUUUAACCAUUUACUACUUUUUCAGUGUAAUAAUGAGCAAUCGGCCAAACAACAGGGAAAAACAAAAUAAUGCACAAAAAGAAGCAAAAGUCUUUACCAAAGAAAAUUAUAAAAAUACUUAUAUCUGCAGAUAAAGUAAUUCUUUAAUAAAAAUAUAUAUAUACUUAACUACUAACUACUUAACUUACUAUAACUUACUACAACUUACUUAUAUUAAUAUUCAAUUAUAGGUGAAAUUGUACAAGAAUUUAAUUGAAAGCAUUAAAUUUGAAAAUGAAAAAACAGAGACGAAUAAUAUUAACAUUGAACUGGACAGUGUAUCAUAUAAUUGGAAAUUACAAAUAACAGGAAACAGCCCUGAUUUCUAGGUGCUUCAAUGUUAUCAGAUGGAAGACAUUAAAAAGAAGAUCAGCAUGAAAGGUAAAUUUGAUUAAUUAUAAUAUGAAUAAUAAUAUAAUAAGAAAUUUAAAUAUAAUUGUUUAUUUUAUAAUAGAUAGAAAUAUGCUAAAUGCCUGAUAAAACUAAAGACUAAUGAUCAAAAUCCUUUGGACGUACCAGUAACUGUAACUUAAUAAUUGAUUACAACAAAUGAAGCUGUAUUAUCAGGAUUUACAGAAGAACUCGAUGACCACUGAUACAGUUUAAUAUUUGAAGAACUUAUAAAUUUAAAAACAAAAGAAAUAUUAUAUAUACUUACUUUGAUAUAAUUAUAUAGUAAAAGUAUUGUGUACAUAAUAUUAGUAUUUGAAGAAACAUAUUAUAUUUAUUUAAAAAUUAAUUUUUUUUGAAAAAUAUAAUUUUAUGAACCUAAUGUUCA